GGUGAGGCUGUCGUUAGGGCUGGCGUCCGGGUGUGAAGCUGAGGCCGCCUGAGGCGUGACCUUGGGGGGGAAUCCCGCGGAAGCGGUAGCGCCGGAGCCUGGAAGGAAAGGAACGGCCGAGCUAGGGAUGGGAACCAGGAUGGUGGUGCCUUCGCGGAAGCUUCAAGAUCUAAUCGAGGAGAUCCGUGGGGCCAAGACCCAAGCCCAGGAGCGGGAGGUGAUUCAAAAGGAGUGCGCCCACAUCCGCGCCUCCUUCCGCGAUGGGGACCCUCUGCACAGGCACCGCCAGCUGGCCAAACUGCUCUACGUCCACAUGCUGGGCUACCCCGCCCACUUUGGACAGAUGGAGUGCCUGAAACUGAUCGCCUCCCCCAGAUUCACAGACAAGAGGGUGGGCUACCUGGGGGCCAUGCUUCUACUGGAUGAGAGGCAGGAUGCCCAUCUGCUCAUUACCAACAGCAUCAAGAAUGACCUCAACCAGGGGAUUCAGGUGGUGCAAGGCCUGGCCCUGUGUACUCUGAGCACUGUGGGCUCUGCGGAGAUGUGCCGGGACCUGGCCACUGAAGUGGAAAAACUGCUCCUGCAGCCUGGCUCCUAUGUGCGCAAGAAGGCUGUUCUGACUGCCGUGCACAUGAUCCGGAAGGUCCCCGAGCUCUCCAACAUCUUCCUCCCACCCUGUGCCCAACUGCUUCACGAACGCCACCAUGGCAUCCUGCUGGGCACCAUCACGCUGAUCACGGAGCUCUGUGAACGAAGCCCUGCAGCCCUCAAGCACUUUCAAAAGGUGGUCCCCCAGCUGGUGCAGAUUCUCCGGACUCUGGUGACAACAGGAUAUUCCACAGAGCACAGCAUAUCUGGAGUCAGCGACCCCUUCCUGCAGGUCCAGAUACUUCGUCUGCUUCGGAUUCUGGGCCGGAACCAUGAAGAAAGCAGUGAUACCAUGAAUGACUUGCUGGCUCAGGUGGCCACUAACACAGACACCAGCCGAAAUGCGGGCAAUGCAGUCCUAUUUGAGACGGUGCUGACCAUCAUGGACAUCCGUUCUGCCACCGGCUUGCGGGUUCUGGCUGUCAACAUCCUUGGCCGCUUUCUGCUCAACAGUGACAAGAACAUUAGGUAUGUUGCCCUGACGUCAUUGCUGCGUAUGGUGCAGUCUGAUCACAGCGCGGUGCAGCGGCACCGGCCCACUGUGGUGGAAUGUCUACGGGAAGUCGAUGCCUCCCUUAGCCGGAGGGCCCUGGAGCUGAGUCUGGCUCUGGUGAAUAGCUCCAAUGUGCGAGCCAUGACACAAGAGCUACAGAGCUUUCUGGAAUCCUGCUCCCCUGAUCUACGGGCCGAUUGCGCCUCAGGCAUCCUGCUGGCAGCAGAGAGGUUUGCCCCAACCAAGCGGUGGCACAUAGACACCAUCCUGCGUGUGCUGACAACGGCAGGCACCCAUGUACGGGAUGAUGCGGUGGCCAACCUGACACAGCUGAUUGGGGGUGCCCAGGAGCUACAUGCCUACUCUGUGCGCCGCCUCUACAGUGCCCUGGCAGAGGACAUCUCCCAACAACCACUGGUGCAAGUGGCAGCCUGGUGCAUUGGAGAAUACGGGGACCUCCUGCUGGAGGGGAGCUGUGAGGAGACUGAGCCCCUUCAGGUGGAGGAAGAGGAUGUGCUGGACCUGUUGGAAAAGGUGCUACAGUCCCAUAUGUCCCUGCCAGCCACCCGAGGAUAUGCCCUGACUGCCCUCAUGAAGCUCAGCACCCGGCUCCGUGGGGACAACAACCGCAUCCGCCAGGUGGUGUCCAUCUAUGGGAGUUGCCUGGACAUGGAGCUGCAGCAGCGGGCCGUGGAGUAUAACACGCUCUUCCGGAAGUACGACCACAUGAGGGCUGCCAUCCUAGAAAAGAUGCCUCUUGUGGAGCGAGGUGGCACUCAGGAUGAGGAGAUAAAGGAAAGCAAAGAAGCUCAACUUUCAGAAGCCAGUCUUGUUCCCACAGAGCCACAGGCCUCUGAGCUCUUGGAUCUGCUAGAUCUCCUGGAUGGCACCUCUGGGGCUGCCCAGCCCCCACCUCCUCUGGAACCCUCCCCAGGAGAUGUUCUGGUACACCUCCUCGACCUGCCCUGUGACCUGCCCUCUGCAUCUCCACCCCCAGGUAAGCCUCAGCAAAGGGCAGAUGAAGACACCUUAAGAAAAGGAGGGGUGGAAAUGUGCUGUUCCUCCUUCUUUACCAAGGACCGAGGUCCCCAUGCCCUCUUCUGUGCUGUGAACCCCCCAUCACAACUCCAUCUUGAUAGCUUCCAUCCCAAAUCUCAGAGUGUUUGAACGUGAAGGACUACAGCUGAAUCUGUCUUUUGUUCGACCCCCUGGAACUCCUGCUUUGCUCUUAAUCACCAUCACUGCUAUCAACACCUCAGAGGCUGAUGUCAUCCAUUUCAUCUGCCAAGCUGCUGUGCCCAAGAGUUUCCAGCUGCAGCUACAGGCUCCUAGUGGGGACACAGUUCCAGCUCACAGUGGCCUUCCAGUGACCCAGCUGCUCAGAAUCCUCAAUCCUAACAAGGCUCCCUUGAGGCUAAAGUUGCGCCUUACCUACAACCACUUUGGCCAGUCGGUGCAGGAGAUCUUUGAGGUGAACAACUUGCCCAUGGAAACAUGGCAAUAACUCAGCCUCCACUCAGUCUGAAAUCCUCCUGUGUCCCAAACUCUCCAAGGUCCCAGCCACUCGGAGCCUGUACCUGAAGGCUGCCAGCAGAUGGCGCUCUGGUCCUGCACUUGCCUCUGCAAAAUCCAUGGGGGGUGGCCCCCCCGGACCUCUCACGAAUAAUGAAAGCCCAAUAAAGCCUGAGGGGGAAAGCCA